rnacentral:rRNA from 1 species
UACGAAGGGGGCUAGCGUUGCUCGGAAUCACUGGGCGUAAAGCGCACGUAGGCGGCUUUUUAAGUCAGGGGUGAAAUCCCAAGGCUCAACCUUGGAACUGCCUUUGAUACUGGGGAUCUCGAGUCCGGAAGAGGUUGGUGGAACUGCGAGUGUAGAGGUGAAAUUCGUAGAUAUUCGCAAGAACACCAGUGGCGAAGGCGGCCAACUGGUCCGGUACUGACGCUGAGGUGCGAAAGCGUGGGGAGCAAACAGG